rnacentral:rRNA from 1 species
UUACGGAAGGCAGCAGGCGCGAAAACUCUACAAUGCAGGCAACUGCGAUAGGGGAACAUCGAGUGAUCCUCAUAUUGGGGGUCUGUCCACCCGCCUAAAAAGCGGGUGUUAGCAAGGGCCGGGCAAGACCGGUGCCAGCCGCCGCGGUAAUACCGGCGGCUCGAGUGGUGGCCGAUAUUAUUGAGUCUAAAGGGUCCGUAGCCGGCUUUGCAAGUCUCUCGGGAAAUCCAGCGGCUUAACCGUUGGUCGUCCGGGGGGUACUACAUUGCUUGGGACUGGGAGAGGUAGGAGGUACUCAGGGGGUAGGAGUGAAAUCCUGUAAUCCUUUGGGGACCACCGGUGGCGAAGGCGUCCUACCAGAACAGGUCCGACGGUGAGGGACGAAAGCUAGGGGCACGAACCGGAUUAGAUACCCCGGUAGUCCA